rnacentral:tRNA from 1 species
GGAGCUGUAGCUCAAUUGGUCAGAGCGCCGCCCUGUCACGGCGGAGGUUGCGGGUUCGAGCCCCGUCGGUUCCGCCA